rnacentral:rRNA from 1 species
GGUCUCGCCUGCCCAGUGACGCUUUUAAACGGCCGCGGUAUCCUAACCGUGCAAAGGUAGCAUAAUCAAUUGUCUCUUAAAUAGAGACUAGAAUGAAUGGCUAAAUGAGGACUAAUCUGUCUCUUACGGACCAACCAAUGAAAUUAAUCUUUCAGUACAAAAGCUGAAAUAAAAACAUAAGACGAGAAGACCCUGUGGAGCUUCAAACCAAACACACCCUGCAUGCUCCUCAGGUUUUUAGUUGGGGCGACUUCGGAGUACAAUAAAACCUCCAAAAUCUUUUAUCUUCAAGAUUAACAAACCAAAAACUUUAUUAGACCCAGCAAUGUAUAACAUUGUCUGACCACUGAACCAAGUUACCCCAGGGAUAACAGCGCCAUCCCCUCCUAGAGUCCAUAUCGACAAGGGGGUUUACGACCUCGAUGUUGGAUCAGGACACCCCAAUGGUGCAGCCGCCAUUAAAGGUUCGUUUGUUCAACGAUUAAUCAGUCCUA